rnacentral:rRNA from 1 species
AGCGGAGGAAAAGAAACUAACAAGGAUUCCCCUAGUAACUGCGAGUGAAGCGGGAAAAGCUCAAAUUUGAAAUCUGGCAGUCUUUGGCUGCUUGAGUUGUAAUCUAGAGAAGCAUUAUCCGUGCUGGACCAUGUAUAAGUCUCCUGGAAUGGGGCGUCAUAGAGGGUGAGAAUCCCGUCUUUGACAUGGACUGCCAGUACAUUGUGAUGUGCUCUCAAAGAGUCGAGUUGUUUGGGAAUGCAGCUCUAAAUGGGUGGUAAAUUCCAUCUAAAGCUAAAUAUUGGCGAGAGACCGAUAGCGAACAAGUACCGUGAGGGAAAGAUGAAAAGMACUUUGGAAAGAGAGUUAAACAGUACGUGAAAUUGUUGAAAGGGAAACGCUUGAAGUCAGUCACAUUGAUCAGUGAUCAACCUUGCUUUUUGCUUGGUGUUUUUUCUGAUCAAUGGGUCAGCAUCAAUUUUGACUGGUGGAAAAAGGCUGAGGGAAUGUGGCAUCAUCUGAUGUGUUAUAACCCUCUGUCAUAUACACUGGUUGGGAUUGAGGAACUCAGCAUGCCGCAAGGCCGGGUUUUAACCACGUUCAUGCUUAGGAUGCUGGCAUAAUGGCUUUAAUCGACCCGUCUUGA